CCUACGGGUGGCAGCAGUGGGGAAUAUUGGACAAUGGGGGGAACCCUGAUCCAGCCAUGCCGCGUGUGUGAAGAAGGCCCUCGGGUUGUAAAGCACUUUCAGUGAGGAAGAACGCCUGGUGGUUAAUACCCAUCAGGAAAGACAUCACUCACAGAAGAAGCACCGGCUAACUCCGUGCCAGCAGCCGCGGUAAUACGGAGGGUGCGAGCGUUAAUCGGAAUUACUGGGCGUAAAGCGCGCGUAGGUGGCUUGAUAAGCCGGUUGUGAAAGCCCCGGGCUCAACCUGGGAACGGCAUCCGGAACUGUCAAGCUAGAGUGCAGGAGAGGAAGGUAGAAUUCCCGGUGUAGCGGUGAAAUGCGUAGAGAUCGGGAGGAAUACCAGUGGCGAAGGAGGCCUUCUGGACUGACACUGACACUGAGGUGCGAAAGCGUGGGUAGCAAACAGGAUUAGAUACCCUUGUAGUC
rnacentral:rRNA from 1 species